rnacentral:rRNA from 1 species
CCUACGGGAGGCAGCAGUGGGGAAUAUUGCACAAUGGGGGAAACCCUGAUGCAGCGACGCCGCGUGAGUGAAGAAGUAAUUCGUUAUGUAAAGCUCUAUCAGCAGGGAAGAAAAUGACGGUACCUGAGUAAGAAGCCCCGGCUAACUACGUUCCAGCAGGCGCGGGAAUACGUAGGGGGCAAGCGUUAGCCGGAUUUACUGGGUGUAAAGGGAGCGUAGACGGCAGUGCAAGUCUGGAGUGAAAGGCGGGGGCUCAACCCCCGGACUGCUCUGGAAACUGUACGGCUGGAGUGCAGGAGAGGUAAGUGGAAUUCCUGGUGUAGCGGUGAAAUGCGUAGAGAUUAGGAGGAACACCAGUGGCGAAGGCGGCUUACUGGACUGUAACUGACGUUGAGGCUCGAAAGCGUGGGGAGCAAACAGGAUUAGAUACCCGGGUAGUC